rnacentral:rRNA from 1 species
GACGAACGCUGGCGGCGUGCUUAACACAUGCAAGUCGAACGGAAAGGCCCUGCUGGUGGUGCUUGCUCGGCUGACGGGCGAGUGAGUAGCGAGUGAGUAACCUUCCCUUGGGUGAGGGAUAACUGAAAGAGAGGCGGGUUACCGACAGGUCCAUGCUCCUCAUGCGGGGGGGGGGGUAGGAAUUUUCGGCGGUGGGGGAUUGGCGCGCGGCCUAUCAGCUUGUUGGUGGGGUAGUGGCCUACCAAGGCUUCGACGGGUAGCCGGCCUGAGAGGGUGACCGGCCACAGUGGGACUGAGACACGGCCCAGACUCCUACGGGAGGCAGCAGUGGGGAAUAUUGGACAAUGGGCGGAAGCCUGAUGCAGCAACGCCGCGUGCGGGAUGACGGCCUUCGGGUUGUAAACCUCUUUCGCCUGUGACGAAGCGAGAGUGACGGUAACGGGAGAAGAAGCACCGGCUAACUACGUG